ensembl:lncRNA
AUCAGUCAGUCAAGAAGGAAGGCAGUUACAGGCCUAAUUCUUGGUUCCUGAACUGAUUGGCUGUGGCUUUUAUCAAGGACUCAUUGGCACGUCUCUGAGCAUCAGUGUUAACUUCUGUCAUGGGCUGAAUUGUGCACCCUCCUCCUCCUUCUCCAACUUUAUAGGUUGACUUUCUAAUCCCCAGUACCUCAGGAUGUGACUCUUUUUGGAGAUGGAGCCUUUAAGGAGGUUAUUUAGGUAAAAUGAGGUCAUAUGAGGAGGCCCUAAUCCAAUAUGACUCGUGUCCUUAUGAGAAAAGAUUAGGACACAGAUAGGUAUAGAGGGAAGACCAUGUGAAGACAAAGAGAGAAGGUGGCCAUCUGGAAGCUAAGGAGAGGGGCUCUCAGAAGAAACAACCGCGCUGACACCUUGAUCUUGGACUUCCAGUCUCCACAAUGGUGAGGAAGUAAAUUUCUGUUAUUUAAGCCACUCAGUCAGUACUUUGUUUUGGCAGCCCUGGUGAACUAAAACAAACUCCUGCAGACAUGGCAGAAAGGGUUUGCAGAAGGGCCAAGAGAACGGUGGCUUAGAUGCUUCCAGUUUUCCCAGCUUCUUCAUGGACUCUCAAGGUCUGCAGUUAUUUGUGGAAUGCCUGUACAAAGGAGAUGCCAUCAGCAGAACGUACCAGCUCUUCAGUGGCUAAUAGCCCCAGGAGGGAGGAUGCCGGCUUCCCAGUGCCUCCUUCCCAAAGCCCUGGCCUCCAGCUCAUUUCUGGUCCAACUAAGUGGGCUAUAUCUGAACCUGGCAGUAGUCAGGAGAUGCUUUUUCCCCCAGGGAAUAGUGCCUAUAGUGUACAAGGCAUACUGUGAUGGGAAAAAAUGAUGAGUAAGAUGACUAAAACAAGAAAAUUCGAGUCUCAUUUUCCAAGGGAUUCUUCCUGAAAAGUGAGCAGAGGUAAGACACUGGGCACAAGCAUGGAUUCAACUAUUUGGUGGUCAGCCAGCAAAGAGAGAUGGUGCUCAGUAUCCUAUCCAGUGGGCCAGCAGGGCCCUGCUGAGCCAUCCACUCAUCCCCCACUCCAGGCAUGCAGAAGCUGACAGUCACCUGAAGGUCAUCACAAUCAAAAGACAUUAGUGUGUAGCCAGGCACAGUGGUGUGUGCCUGUAGUCUCAGCUACUCAGGAGGCUGACAUGGGAGAAUGAUCACUUGAGCCCAGUUUAGAGAUCCUGUCUCUAAAACAAAAACAAAAGAACACUAGUGUGUAGUGAAAUGGUCAUAUGAUUGUUGGUUGUUAGCAAGUCACUUACGUCUUCUAAUCUUAAAUUGCAUCUUCUCUGAAGUAAGGGCACUAGUAAAACCUGUUCCACAGAUUUGUUGGGAGAAAGUAAAGCAUCAUACAUUACGAAGGGCAGUAAAGAUAUGUUAUAUCUGCAGAAUGCUGUAAUAAUAAUUACUAAGUAAGGAUGCUAGUAAUAAUAAUAUCUAAUCUCUAUACAGCACUUGCUAUAUGCCAGAAACUCUUCUAAGUGUUUUAUACAUAUUUAAUCCUUACAACAAUCUUAUAGGAUAAGUACUAUCAUUAAAACUAAGGCACAGAGAGGUUCAGUAGAUUGUCCAAAGUUACACAGCUAGCAAGUAGCAUAGUCGGCAUUUAAAAUCAGGCUUUGAGUCUGUGCUAACUGCCACGCUAUACUUCCUCUUUAUGAAGAAUGUGAGCAUGUACAUUUUAUAAAGCAUAAUUUCAGGUAGCCUUCCCUCCCCACUCCCUAAACUCUCUGGCAGCGGCAACAUUGGGUUAUUGUUCAUACUGAGAUCAAUCCACCCCUGAAAAAGUAUCUGGAGUCUGCUACACAUUCCAAAUCUUGCCAAAGCUUCUUUGGUGUUCCAGAAAACGAUAAAGAGGGUCAGUUUUGUUCUCAGUGAGAGGCCAGGUAACCUCUGCAAACUCUCUGGGUUCUCAUGGUUCUGACAUUUUUUGUUUUUUUUUUUGAGAUGGAGUCUUGUUCUCAUCACCCAGGCUGGAGUGCAAUGGCAUGAUCUCGGCUCACCACACUCUCUGCUUCUCAGGUUCAAGCAAUUCUCUUGCCUCAGCCUCCUGAGUAGCUGGGAUUACAGGUGCCCACAACCAGGCCCGGCUAAUUUUUGUAUUUUUAGUAGAGACGGGGUUUUGCCAUGUUGGCCUGGCUGGCCUCGAACUCCUGACCUCAUGAUCCACCUGCCUCGGCCUCCCAAAGGGCUGGGAUUACAGGCGUGAGCCACCGCGCCUGGCCAGUUCUGAUAUCUUAAUGUCCACCAGAGUCCUCAGUAGCUGAAUCUGACUGCAAUGGAGGUGACUCCAGAAAUCAGACUACAAAUAUGCAUUAGGAACCCACACUAUGACCAGCAUAGUGCUGGGAUGUGGGGGAUGAUGUAUAGGAAGCAGGAUUGUGGUGUGUAUCCACAAAGAGUUAGCAAUCCAGUUGGAAAGAUCCAACAGGUGAAACCACAGAAUAAGAUAACAAGAUAACAUGAAGUGACAAUGUAAUGAUUGAAACUGUUCAAUAUUGACAAUGAGACCAUGAGAGAUAAAGGGAACAUGCUGCUAAUUGUAUACCAUUCAGUUCCUGGUCUUUAUAUCAAAGCUCCAAGUUUUCAUGUCUCCCAGCAUGAAUGACCUGUCCUUUCUUCCUAGAGAAACAAUUCCAAGAAAAAGGACAUUCUUCACUCAGCAGCUCCUGCCGUAUUCACUGAGAUGUGUUUUUUUGUUUUCCUAUGUAUUUCUUCAUAAGAGAUGGUAGAUAAGUCAAUCUGGGGUCUGUUACCCUUCGAGUAAUACCUGAAAAAGUGAGGAGAGCAGAGGGCACUUGGGUCAAGUUGUUAUGUCGGAUGAUUCCCUGCACCCUGUUUCGUGGUGUGCCCUCACCUCUCUAGGGACCUAGAAACUGCUUCCUAACCACAGAUGCUUAGGUUGCUUCAGGUAAGGCAUCAUCUUAAUUCUUUGAUGGGCAGCAGCCCUUUCUCCUCUAGCUGGAUGACAUUGGGUAAGUUGCUUACUCUCUUUUGAAUUUUAGUUUUCUUCAUCUAUAAAAUGGAUGUAUUAGUCCAUUUUCAUGCUGCUGAUAAAGACAUACCCGAGGCUGGACAAUUUACAAAAGACAGAGGUUUAAUGGACUCACAGCUCCAUGUGACUGGGGAGGUGUCACAAUCAUGGCAGAAGGUGAAAGGCACAUCUUACAUGGUGGCAGACAAGAGAAGAGAACUUGUGCAGGGAAACUCCCCUUUAUAAAAUCAUCAGAUUUCAUGAGACUUAUUCACUAUCAUGAGAACACCAUGGGAAAGACCUACCCCCAUGAUUCAAUUACCUCCCACUGGGUCCCCUCCCACAACAUGUGGGAAUUCAAGAUGAGAUUUGGGUGGGGACACAGCCAAACCAUAUCAAUGGAUAUAUGAAAGUGUGUGUGAGGACAAGCUGAAAUAAUCAAUACAGAGUCCUUACCAUCCUGACUGGUACAUAAUACUUUUUUCUAAAAUGAUAUUUUUGUUAUUAGUUCUACUACUAAUAUCCUCACAUUGCUACCACCAUUAUCAUCAGCAUCAUCAUUACCACCAACAUCAUCAAUAUCAUCAAUACCAUCAUCACUGUCAUCAUCUAACCAGUACAUCCCAUGUCCCAUUUCCUUAGGACCUAUUCAAAUGACUUGUUGGUUAAUCUGAUAAAUACCAAGCUCUCUUUGAGUGACAAUGGCUUAAUUUGUCACCCCACUCAGGAAUAUCUUUAUUCAAGUUUGCAAGGGGCAAGAGAGUGACUUACUGAAAAUUAAUGCUGACAAUUGUAGGCCCCAUGGUGGGAGAGAAAGGAAGUUAGUUUUGGCCAAAUGGACUUUUGGAUGCUUCCCAGAUCCCCUCCUCUGCAGCUGUCAGUUCUGGCCCAGAGAUAAACUGCUUCACUGGAUUUUCUCCAUUGUCUCGCAAUGCAGGUAAAGGAGACCUGAGCCCACAAACAACAUUUCCCCUUUCUCCAUUAAUUACAGUGUCAUGGUGAAGGGAGAACUUCAUUUUAAUUUCAGUCCUACAUAACGCAGUGCCUGGAGGAAAACAACAGAAGUGUUUGAGGUUGAAAUUCUGAAGCAUAAAAAGCACAGGUUAAUUACCUUUGGCUUCACAGGCAGAUUUCUGUGUACACAAUUGUGUUUCAUCUUUGUAACCUGAGGCUCUACUUUGAGGGUUUCUCAAGUAGAGAAAUUACCCAUGCUCUGUCCAGAGUCGUGCUCGAGUUAAGAGCUCACAGGAUGAUGGGCAUAAAUACCACUGGAGCAGCCCUAUGACUCUUGGGGCUCCCGUAAGAGAAGUCCUUCUCUGGAGAGAGAUCGAUUUGGCAAUUCAGAAGGCUAAAGGGACUCAUUCUGAAAUUUUUGCUUUGGGGCUCCCACUUAAUGUUCUACUCUGCAAAGCGGUGUUCAGUUCCAUUGAAAUUCUUCACCAAGUCAACACAAAUUUCAAUGUGGAAAUGAGUGUGUGGAGACAUUUCUGAUGUAUUUUAUUAUUAUUAUAUUAUUUUGCUCUUGGCUGAAAACACAGUCAGACCUUUGUGCAGAAUGUGGAUUCUGAAAGGCCAUUGAAUGCCAGUUGGGAGAAUCUUUACGGCAUCUCAGGGGAACAGUUACCACAAAUACAGCACAUGCCAACUUGCCUUGAGGCUAGGAAGGCUGAAGCUUUCUCUGUAGCACCCCCACUCUUCCUACAUACUAACCCUGAGAGGAUCUGGAAGGCACAUCCCCUUGGCUGGUACAGGAGGCUUAUUCCAUUCAUCCAUCGAACAAAUAUUUGUUGAGCGUCUGCUGGUGCCAAAACUAUUCUAGGUGCCAAGGAUAUAGCAGUGAACAGAAAUAGGCAACAAUCCUUCCUGACAUAGAAUUCCCUUUUCCUCAGGUUGGUUGAAUAUUGGUAUUUUGUUCUCUCUGACUGUAUGUGUGUG